CCUACGGGUGGCAGCAGUGAGGAAUAUUGGUCAAUGGGCGCGAGCCUGAACCAGCCAAGCCGCGUGAGGGAUGAAGGUACAGAGUAUCGUAAACCUCUUUUGUCAGGGAACAAAGGCGGGUACGUGUCCCCGGAUGAGUGUACCUCAAGAAAAAGCAUCGGCAAAGUCCGUGCCAGCAGCCGCGGUAAUACGGAGGAUCCGAGCGUUAUCCGGAUUUAUUGGGUUUAAAGGGUGCGCAGGCGGUCUGUAAAGUCAGCGGUCAAAGCCCGGGGCUCAACCCCGUACCGCCGUUGAAACUGGGAGUCGCGAGUUGGAGAGAAGUAUGCGGAAUGCGCGGUGUAGCGGUGAAAUGCAUAGAUAUCGCGCAGAACUCCGAUUGCGAAGGCAGCAUGCCGGCUCCACACUGACGCUGAGGCACGAAGGCGUGGGUAUCGAACAGGAUUAGAUACCCGGGUAGUC
rnacentral:rRNA from 1 species